CUAAAGGAAGAGAUGCCUGACCACAUGUCUUCCCGCUUUGUUCCCACUCCAGAAGUCCACUACCUCUCCCCCUCCCUACUCCUCACCGGAGGAUCUGCCUGAACAUCUAUCCUCUCCUGCCAAUCUCAGCAACCAGUCGCCAUCAACAGCACACUCUUCCUCUGCUCCCUCUGCACCUCCUACCUCGGAGGCCAUGCCUCGCUCUCCCUCUACUCCCUCCGAGCCCCCUCCCUCAGAGGCCGCACUUCCUCUCGCCUAUCCAGUGGCGGCCCACACCCGCUCCCACCAGCCAGCUAUCCUGGCCCCACUCCGAGAAGUAGCAGGCGCAGAAGGUUUAAUCAGGGUCCAUGUUCCUUUCUCACUCCAAGACCUGUCCCAAAUUGAGAAACGUUUAGGAUCCUUCUCAGCCGACCCGUCCACCUAUAUUAAGGAAUUCCAAUACCUCACUCAAGCCUACAGCCUCACUUGGCAUGAUAUUCGCAUUAUCUGUUCCUCCACCCUCACAGUGGAGGAGCACGAGCGCAUCCUCGCUGCAGCCAGAAACCAAGCAGAUAAAGACCAUGCUAUCGAUAACCAGAUCCCCCUAGGCCCCGAAGCAAUCCCAGGUGAAGACCCCCAAUGGGACUAUCAGGCUAAUCGAGGGUCUGAUAUACCCAAGAGGGACAGCAUGAUUAGAUACCUCCUCAGGGGAAUGGAUGCUGUAUCUAACAAAGUUGUAAACUAUGAUAAACUGAGAGAAAUCACCCAACUACCUGAUGAGAACCCCGCCCUCUUUCUCGCUCGCUUGUAAGAAGCCCUAGUCCGGUAUACUCGACUAGAUCCAGCCCCUCAAAACGGGGCCACUGUAUUAGGCUCCCAUUUUAUCUCCCAAUCAGCACCCGACAUAAGAAAGAAACUAAAGAAAGCAGAAGAGGGGCCAGAGAUUCCCAUCCAAGACCUGGUAAAAAUGGCCUUUAAAGUAUUCAGUGCCAGGGAAGAUGCGGCUGAUGCUGCCCGCCAAACUCGCAUGAAGCAGAAGGCUGCCCUCCAGACCCAAGCCCUAGUGGCGGCUCUAAGGCCGGCAGGGAACCAGAAGCCCAAGGCCGAAACCCAUGCCCCUCCGGGAGCAUGUUUUAAAUGUGGAAAGGAAGGACACUGGUCCUGAGCCUAUCCACAACCACGGCCACCAACUAAGCCUUGCCCUAUCUGUCAGCUCCCGGGACACUGGAAGUCAGACUGCCCCAGCUUCCCCAGGGUGCCGGUUCCUCAAAACAGACACACUGGCGUUACUCAGCCGGCAGUCACCCUCAGUAGGGAGGAGCCUGCUUUCCAGGAGCCGACCUCCGAGGGAACUCCAUUCUCCAGGCUAUUAGGGCUGCUAGACAACUAGUGGGGCCCUGGCUUUCCGACUCCGGUUACCCUUGCCGAGCCUAGGGUCACAAGACAUGGGGGCUACCUCCUCCGCUCUUCCUUCUUAUUCUGGCCGUCUUACCCCUUCCCAGGUCUUGGUUAUGGGAAUCGAUGGGACCCCGAGUAUCCCCUACCAAACCCCACCACUCAUGUGCUCAUAUAACUCCACUCCAUUCACCCACUCUUUUUAGUAAUCCCCACCUGCCCAGUUCCCCUUCUGGGGUGAGACAUCCUUUCAAAGCUGAAGGCCGUCAUAACCUUCCCCACCACCAGCCCACACAGCCUCUUUCUCCUAGCCCUCAAUACUCUGCCUCAGAAUUCCAGACCCUCCAGUCUACCCCCGGGGUACGGUUCAAGGAUGACUCGGCCUUCAAGCAUAACCUCCUCAUCCUCCCUGAAAAGCAAAGGUACCAGAUAAUCCAAGACAUCCAUAAUUCACUCCACAUUGGGCCUAAAGCCUUAUACCGAUUCCUCAACCCACUUUUCACCCUCACCAUCUCCUCAGUACCAUACAGGAAGUCCAGUCCUCAUGUACUGUCUGCGCGAAAACUAAUUCCCAGGGUUCCUGUCAUCCUCGGCGCCAGCUUUAUCAGCUACACGGGUUCCUACCUGGCCAAGACUGGCUAAUUGAUUUCACCCAUAUGCCAAAGCAUAAACAGUACCGGUAUCUGCUAACCAUUGUUGACACUUUUUCAGGCUGGAUUGAAGCUUACCCCACAGCCUCUGAGUCUGCCGGGACAGUAGCCACUCAUCUCAUUCAAGACAUCAUCCCACGCUUUGGACUCCCGGCUACCAUACAGUCAGACAACGGCCCAGCCUUUAUCUUCAAAGUCACUAAUGCCGUUUCUACCUCUCUAGGAAUUCAGUGGAAGCUACACGCCGCCUACCAUCCUCAGUCCUCUGUUCAUACAGCGGCGCUUUCAAGAACUGACUCGAGUCACCAUCCACCAGAUGCUGCUCCAACCCCACCCUGAACGAGUGCAAGAAACAGACCUCUCCCUGAACAUCCAGGCUCCUUAAGAAAAGAGACCUCUUCAGAGCCCCCCGUCGACCCUUGUCAGCAGGAAGUAGCCAGAUCGAUUCCGCCGCCCUUUUCCUUUUUAAGGAGUCGGGAAUGUUCGGUAGAAAGUCCCGCCAUCUUUCCCCCAGGUUUCUUGCCCCCACCCUCCCCCCAGGCUUCCUGCUGCCCUGAGAAAAGCCCGCCAAGCCUGCUCUGUUCUGCCCAACAACUACAAGCAGCCAAUCAUCGCAGCAGGAAAGCCCGCCAAGCCUCGGCCUAUCCUGAACCGACACGUAACCCUCUGAGCCACCUCAGCAGUCUGCCCAGAGACAGACAGCCUAUCCUAAGCUCCUACGACACUCCGCCAGCCCUGUGUCCACGCCCCGUCCACCCCCCUAUAAAACCCUCCUACCCCAGCUGCGCAGUCGCAACCAGCCCCGAUCUCCUUCCUUUCCUGGCCUGCCCGCUGGUCCCAAUAAACCUGAACUCGGCUUCCAACCCUCGAGCUGUUAUUUGGGGUCGGGUACCGGACAGGGGUCUACAAGGGGGUCGCACAAUAUACAAGCUCCAU